UUGGCAAAUAGAUUUUGUCAAAAUAGCUGAGGUUCUGUAACAAGCACAAUCGAUUGGCAAAUCGAUUGAUGGAAAAGUCUGAGUCACUAUGAUCAGCACAAUCGAUUGACGAAUCGAUUGAAGAAAAUGUUCAAGUUACAGAAAGGUUUCAGCUAAGUGCCAAAUCGAUUAUGAAGUCGACUGAGGAAUCGAUUGUUUUGAUUUCGUUGUUGAAUCAAAACACCUAUAAUCGAUUACUCAAUCGAUUUGGAUAAAAUCAUAGUUCUAGUUCUGAUUAAUGUAUUAAAAGAAUCGAUUGGCAAAUCGAUUCAUGCUUAUAUGAUUCAAGAUUCAAGAAAAACAAGACCUGCGAAAAUCGAUUAGGCAAUCGAUUAAUGCGUUAUGAAAUCGAUUAGGAAAUUGAUUGUCCUGGUGUUUUCUUUGAAUAUAUAUAAGCUUAUUCAAACGUUUUUGAAAAUAACAUUGCACAAAACUUUUGCAUACUUUUCAUAAUCUUUGACAAUCACUUGAAAAACACUUUUGACAGAAAAGUUUUUCACACACACACACACAAACAUUCAUAGCCCAAAAUACUUUUGUGUGAGAACCAAAAUAGUGAUUUGAGUCAAAUCUUUGUACAUCUUUAAUUCUUGAAAAACACAACUCUUUGUAAUUAAAGGAUUGGAAAAUCCAGUUUAGAAACUGGUGGCGAUCUUCGUUGAUGUAGGAUCAUCAAGAAGGAGCUUCACUUGAUCUUGUGUAUGUUUGAUGAUUGACUGCAAGGAUCAAGGGGUUGAGAAAUAGAAGAGAGUUUGAGUUAGAUAGAUAUGCUUCGAGGAAGCUGGACAAAUCUGUAAAA
rnacentral:lncRNA from 1 species